GCCCUGGUAGCUCAGCUGGAUAGAGCGACUCCCUCCUAAGGAGUAGGCCGCAGGUUCGAAUCCUGCCCAGGGCA
rnacentral:tRNA from 1 species